rnacentral:rRNA from 1 species
UACGUAGGGUGCGAGCGUUGUCCGGAAUUAUUGGGCGUAAAGAGCUCGUAGGCGGUGUGUCGCGUCGGCCGUGAAAACCUGCAGCUUAACUGUGGGCUUGCGGUCGAUACGGGCAUCACUGGAGUUCGGCAGGGGAGACUGGAAUUCCUGGUGUAGCGGUGAAAUGCGCAGAUAUCAGGAGGAACACCGAUGGCGAAGGCAGGUCUCUGGGCCAUAACUGACGCUGAGAAGCGAAAGCGUGGGGAGCAAACAGG